UCGUGUCACGUGUCAAGUC
rnacentral:siRNA from 1 species